CGGACGGGUGAGUAACACGUGGGCAAUUUACCUUUCGGUGAGGAAUACCGGCGAGAAAUCGCCGACAAUACCGCAUAUGCUUCGCAAGAAGCAAAGUCGCAAGACGCCGGAGGAGAAGCCUGCGCCCGAUUAGCUAGUUGGUGGAGUAAUGGUUUACCAAGGCGACGAUCGGUAGCUGGUCUGAGAGGAUGAUCAGCCACACUGGGAUUGAGAACGGCCCAG
rnacentral:rRNA from 1 species